UACAGAGGUCUCAAGCGUUGUUCGGAUUCAUUGGGCGUAAAGGGUGCGUAGGUGGCGCCGUAAGUCAGGUGUGAAAUUUCGGAGCUUAACUCCGAAACUGCAUUCGAUACUGCCGUGCUUGAGGACUGGAGAGGAGACUGGAAUUUACGGUGUAGCAGUGAAAUGCGUAGAGAUCGUAAGGAAGACCAGUGGCGAAGGCGGGUCUCUGGGCCGAUACUGACGCUGAGGAGCGAAAGCGUGGGGAGCGAACAGG
rnacentral:rRNA from 1 species